UGUUGGUGUAGGUUAGUGUAAAUGUCUGUGUGUGUGUUGUUGUAGGUUAGUGUAAAUGUCUGUGUGUGUGUUGGUGUAGGUUAGUGUAAAUGUCUGUGUGUGUAUGUUGGUGUAGGUUAGUGUAAAUGUCUGUGUGUGUGUUGGUGUAGGUUAGUGUAAAUGUCUGUGUGUAUGUUGGUGUAGGUUAGUGUAAAUGUCUGUGUGUGUAUGUUGGUGUAGGUUAGUGUAAAUGUCUGUGUGUGUAUGUUGGUGUAGGUUAGUGUAAAUGUCUGUGUGUAGUUUGGUGUAGGUUAGUGUAAAUGUCUGUGUGUAUGUUGGUGUAGGUUAGUGUAAAUGUCUGUGUGUGUAUGUUGGUGUAGGUUAGUGUAAAUGUCUGUGUGUGUAUGUUGGUGUAGGUUAGUGUAAAUGUCUGUGUGUGUGUUGGUGUAGGUUAGUGUAAAUGUCUGUGUGUAUGUUGGUGUAGGUUAGUGUAAAUGUCUGUGUAUGUUG